GAGAAAGGUGCUUGCACCUUUCAAGUGAGUGGCGAACGGGUGAGUAACACGUGGAUAACCUACCUCAAGGUUGGGGAUAACAUUUGGAAACAGAUGCUAAUACCGAAUAAAACUUCGUAUCGCAUGAUACAAGGUUAAAAGGCGCUACGGCGUCACCUAGAGAUGGAUCCGCGGUGCAUUAGUUAGUUGGUGGGGUAAAGGCCUACCAAGACAAUGAUGCAUAGCCGAGUUGAGAGACUGAUCGGCCACAUUGGGACUGAGACACGGCCCAAACUCCUACGGGAGGCUGCAGUAGGGAAUCUUCCACAAUGGGCGAAAGCCUGAUGGAGCAACGCCGCGUGUGUGAUGAAGGCUUUCGGGUCGUAAAGCACUGUUGUAUGGGAAGAACAGCUAGAGUAGGGAAUGACUUUAGUUUGACGGUACCAUACCAGAAAGGGACGGCUAAAUACGUGCCAGCAGCCGCGGUAAUACGUAUGUCCCGAGCGUUAUCCGGAUUUAUUGGGCGUAAAGCGAGCGCAGACGGUUGAUUAAGUCUGAUGUGAAAGCCCGGAGCUCAACUCCGGAAAGGCAUUGGAAACUGGUCAACUUGAGUGCAGUAGAGGUAAGUGGAACUCCAUGUGUAGCGGUGGAAUGCGUAGAUAUAUGGAAGAACACCACCGGCGAAGGCGGCUUACUGGACUGUAACUGACGUUGAGG
rnacentral:rRNA from 1 species